rnacentral:ncRNA from 1 species
GAUGAACCAAUGACAAGGAAUAGUAGUUAAGGGUUAUAGAUGUAAAGAGAGGGCUGCCACGGCUGGAAGUAGCCUCAUCUACCGAAACGAAUGAACACCUUCGAGGCUUUUUUCCUGAACGAUUUAUUUAGUAGGGAUGAACGUAGCUGGCGUUAACAGAUAAAGUGGAGGCAUUGCCUCAAUUUGGGUGGUACCACGGGUUUAACUCUCGUCCCAGAU